rnacentral:tRNA from 1 species
GGGCGUGUAGCUCAGCUGGGAGAGCAUCGGCUUUGCAAGCCGAGGGUCAUCGGUUCGAUCCCGAUCAUGUCCA